rnacentral:rRNA from 1 species
UACAGAGGGUGCGAGCGUUAAUCGGAAUUACUGGGCGUAAAGGGUGCGUAGGUGGAUUCGUAAGUCGGAUGUAAAAGGCCUGGGCUUAACCUAGGGAGGUCAUUCGAAACUACGAAUCUGGAGUAUGGGAGAGGAUAGAGGAAUUUCCGGUGUAGCGGUGAAAUGCGUAGAUAUCGGAAAGAACACCAGUGGCGAAGGCGUCUAUCUGGCCCAAUACUGACACUGAGGCACGAAAGCCAGGGGAGCGAACCGG